rnacentral:tRNA from 1 species
GCGGUGGUAGCUCAGUUGGUAGAGCGCGACCCUCCCACGGUCGAAGUCGCGGGUUCGAAUCCCGUCCGCCGCUCCA